rnacentral:ncRNA from 1 species
UGAAAAACUUUGAUCAAUAGGAGUAAAUUAAUGUUAUUUUAUAGAGAGUUAGUGUUUGGUGGAAACUAAUAGAUAUGUUAAUUGAAGGUAGAUUGGGAGUUAUAUAUUUGAAAUUAAGUAGAAUAUGUCGUUUACUGCGUUAAAGUUUUGAGUGAUAGAUUAUAAUCUAUAAGAAAGGUGGUACCGCGAGUAAUCGUCCUUUUA